rnacentral:rRNA from 1 species
ACGAACGCUGGCGGCAGGCUUAACACAUGCAAGUCGAACGAGACCUUCGGGUCUAGUGGCGCACGGGUGAGUAACGCGUGGGAAUCUACCUUGGAGUUCGGGAUAACAGUUGGAAACGACUGCUAAUACCGGAUACGCCCUACGGGGGAAAGGUUUACUGCUCCAAGACGAGCCCGCGUCCAAUUAGGUAGUUGGUGGGGUAAAGGCCUACCAAGCCGACGAUUGGUAGCUGGUCUGAGAGGAUGGCCAGCCACACUGGGACUGAGACACGGCCCAGACUCCUACGGGAGGCAGCAGUGGGGAAUAUUGGACAAUGGGGGCAACCCUGAUCCAGCCAUGCCGCGUGAGUGAUGAAGGCCUUAGGGUUGUAAAGCUCUUUCGCCGGUGACGAUGAUGACGGUAACCGGAGAAGAAGCCCCGGCUAACUUCGU